CAACCAGCUGUAACUCCAGUUCCAGGGGAUCCAAGGUCUUCUGACCUCCUCAGGCACCAGGAUCUCCAGACACUGGACCAAAGGACCAAUCCAGGACUGGAGAUCACAGCUUCCAAAAAGGUCUUCCAGAGACACCCUCCAAAGAUGGGACAGCUUCAAGAGAUCUGGUGCCGGGCCGUGGGUACCAGGAACAGGUUUCAAGGGCAACUGCUGAGGAACAUCUCCCUCCCCUCAGGAGGACCUCCUAGGGCAACUUUGGUGAGAGUGCCACACUCUGCAAAGGAUCUUCUAGCCUGGAGCCUAUGGUUACAGGGCCACUCUAUGUGGAGAUGAGGCAGGCAAGCCAGCACUGUUACUUCAGGACUGAUGAAGGCAACAUGGAAAUAAAGAGACCAGCCCGCACAGAGCAGAUGGCCAUCUCAUCUGAACAGUGAAGGGCAGUGGUCUCUGCACAGAGUGGAUACUGUGUGCCAUGGCACAGUCAGCUUGAGAGUCUUAGGGGUCAGAAAAGGCAACUUUGGGGAUGGAAGAUUCCAUGUACAGGUCUGAUCUCCUUCGUCUCAAAGUAGUAAAUACCAAAGGAUGUUAGUAUAUUGACCUUUUGUCAGAAGCUUCCUGGACCCUAACCUCAAGUCAACUUUCCUGUCAUGAGUUCCUCAGCCCACCUGAGGUUUUGGUCUACUUAGCCUUUUGAACAUAAUAAUUGUUUUAGCAACUUGGAACUGCAUUUGACUAAUGCUAUAGUUUUCAACCUGGGACUGCACUUGCCUAGUGCUAUAGUUUUUAUACCUCUCCCUCCCCCCCCCCCCCAAAAAUGCCUAUCAACCUGUUAGCAAUACAGGAACCAUGACCAACACUAACUGUGCUUAGAAUUGCACUAAACUGAGCAAUUGAUUUUUCCUCUUAGUAUCUUAUAGACAACUGGGAACUGUGCAAAAUGGGCUGACCUGGCCUAGACUGGUUUCAGGUGGAUGCAUAAUAAGGCAAAUUGUGUCCUCUAAGUGAAUAGUUUUGGAGAGUCCCUUAUCCAUGAUGAUAUCCCUAUGCAUAAUUUUCAUGCAUGUAUAAGUCAUGUAACUUAAUAUUUCAACCAAAAUAAAACCUGCUACAAUGCCCCUUUAGCAACUGUAUUAGUCAGUGUUCUCUAGAGUCACAGAACGAUCUGUGUGUGUGGGGGGGGGGAGGUUUAUUGGAAUAAUUUGCAGGCUGCAGUCCAACAUGGCUAGCUGUGAAUGGAGAGUCCAAGCAUCUAGUACUUGCUUAGUCCCACAAGGCUGGGUGCCUCAGCUGUUCUCCUGUAUCUGCUGGAAUCCUGAAGAGUAGGCUGCAGUGCCAGACAAGGAAAGGAUGUGCUGACAAGAUGAGGGCAGGCAGAAUGAACACACCCUUUCUUCUUCCAUUGUCCUCCCAGAAGAGGGUGUGGCCCAGAUUAAAGGUGUGCCUUACAGCCUCAAGAUCCCAAUCAAAGGCAUGUGUCUUCUUGCCUUAAGGUCCAGACCCCAAGUGUGCCUUCCAUUUCUGUUUUUGGUUGUGAGCAUAGCCUUUAACGGCUGAGCCAUCUCUCCAGCCCUACCCUCCAUUUCUAGAUUAUAGUUCAUUCCAGGCAUAGUGAAGUUGACAACCAGGAACAGCCAUCACAGAAACCAGACUUCCUGGAACCCCAUAAAGGAAGCCACAAACAAUAAUCUGAGUUUUUUGAGCAUUUCAUUCAUUCAACUCGGGCAGCCUGAGACCUUUUUCUUCAAAGAUUAUUUUUCUGUAUGUGUGUGAUCAUGUCACAUAUGUGCAGGACCCAAAGAGGCCAAAAAGAGGUGCGGGAGCCCCUGGAGCUGCAGUUCCAGGCAUUGAAGGCCCCCUGGCAUGGGUAUUGGGAACUGAACUCAGGUCCUCUGGAAGAACAGCAGGUGCUCUUAACUCUGAGCCAUCUCUCCAGCUCUCCCUACCCCCAUAUUAAUCAUGACAGUGUAUUCCUUUCUGAUCAGUACUGCCACUCACUUUGCUUUGAAUAAAGUUUGAAUAAAGUGCUUUGGCUACAUUGUAA